AUGAAUCGUGAUUUAUUUAGCGGAACAAUUUGUCAGUGCGGUGGCGUGGCCCGAGGGCCGAAAGUCCAUUUCGUUUAUUUCGCUGGAUGGCAGGCAGAAAAGGGGUGGAAGUGCCGGUUGCUGUUGACUUGUGAGUGCUUUGCACCCGGAAUUGGGAAAACCGGGUAUCCAGAGCACAAACACCGAUACGGACACGGAUGCGGACACAUUUACGGACACGAGUGGAGGGAGAGAUUCGCGCAACUAUUUGUGAAAUUCGGGUAGAACAUAAAAUUGCGUUAUCUAUGGUCUCAUUAUCAUCAACAGACGUCGGUCGAAAUCCGGCACCCUUAUCCUCAGUCUCAGUCCAAUGUCAAUCCGAAUCCGAGUCCCGUCCGGAUGCAGUCAAGUUGAAAAUUAAUUUUGUCACAGUUGCGCAUCGGCGAAGUGUCAUUAUGAUAUCGCGAUAUUCCCACCGACACUCCGCCCACUCUGCGAUGAUUCCGUUGAUGAUGAGAUCCUGUCGUUGGAACUUCCGCACAUUUGGUAUAAAUAUAUUUGUGCGAGGGUCGCUCUUCGCGUUGCCAAUUGCUAGGCACACGUCGCUAGUUCACCCCUCGCGCAUUUGCCGGUCGGCAAAUUGAAAUAGUCGCGUGAUUCCGUCGAUUUUUUAAGCGAUUCGAUUUGCUGGCAAUUUGUUUGCCAUUAGGCAGUUAAAAAGUUUUCACUUCUUUUGGGGUGGUACUACCUAAGGAAUAUAUUUUGACUGCAACGCCUACGUGGG
ensembl:ncRNA lncRNA:CR43713 long non-coding RNA:CR43713